rnacentral:rRNA from 1 species
UGCAGUCGAACGCUUGCUUUCCUCCCGAGUGCUUGCACUCAAUUGGAAAGAGGAGUGGCGGACGGGUGAGUAACACGUGGGUAACCUACCCAUCAGAGGGGGAUAACACUUGGAAACAGGUGCUAAUACCGCAUAACAGUUUAUGCCGCAUGGCAUAAGAGUGAAAGGCGCUUUCGGGUGUCGCUGAUGGAUGGACCCGCGGUGCAUUAGCUAGUUGGUGAGGUAACGGCUCACCAAGGCCAC